CAAGUCCCUCUCCUUCCACCAAGGAGCGCCCAGAGGCCGGCGGGAGCUCCAGGUUCACCUCCUCCUCCUCCAGGGUUAUUUCAAGUCCCAAAAAGCAAGGAUGAACAUCUAGAACGAGAAGAAAAACAAUCUGGAGGGACGACUUGAGAAGGCAUCCUGAGCCUAUGCAGAAAUGCAGAAACACUUCCAUGAUCUAAACAACCUAUGUGAAGGCCUGAAAGCCAAAGCAAGAUCCUCUUAUUACAAAGCUGUCCGACAAAAAGUUUUCCAAGUAACACUGGAGGUCCAUCAGUCACUCUUCCUGGUCUGGAAAUGCCAGAAAUGUCCUCCUUGGUCCUUCUGAGAGUCAAGAUCUUUUCAAAAUCACCUCAGGAGCCACAGAACCACUUCAUCCUACCUGAAAUUGCAGGAUGACUUCUUUUGACCAGAAUCUCAAAAAUAUAUUCGUUGAUAGUUUUGAUUCCUGGGAGCCGCCAUUGCUUGCAAAAGAUGUGCCAGAGACUAGACAUUUUCUGUCUCCUCACUUGUCUGGGGAAGACUGAAGUUUUACAGAAACACAGAGAUGGGAAUCUGACCCUCUGAGCAGCCUCAGGAUUUUCUAAGUCUUCCAAGCAGAGUGGAAAUACUGGAAAUCCCACUUCCAACUGGAUGUCUGGAUGAACUACUGAAAGCUGCUGAGUGUCCUGCAGCAGGUGAGCUGUGGCCAGAGCCCAAGGAUGAAGGGGGCUCCCUCACUCUGUUACUGUGAAGAGGAAGCCUGAGGUGUAGCAGGCCCAGGCCCCAGAAGUAUGGAAAAAAAUGAGGUAGGGAGGGAGGGGACCUCAGGAGAAGACUGAGGUCUACAGAAUCCCAGGGUCAAGGGGAUGGUGCAGUGUUCUGGCACUAUCCUUGAUGUUCCAAGAGGGGUGAGAAUCCAUCUCCUGAGUAAAAACUUCACAUGGGGUGAGGAGGGGAGAAGAGAACAGAAAGGAAGCAGGGAAGGCCAAGACAGCCACCAGCCUUACAGCAAUUUUAACCAGAAAUGGACACAGACCCUGGACCCCAUCACAGGAGUGCAGGCCUAGGACUGUCUCCAGGUGAUGCAUAGCUCCCUUGUCAGGUUAGUGGGUUCAGGGAUUGUGACGUCUGCAGGGGUGUGGAAGGCUGGGCAAUGGGAGCAGCUUACUGGGCUGGACCAGAAAUACUGAACUUCUUUUCCAUCAGUGAAAUCCACUUCUGGGUCAGAAAAAACUGUGAGUUCUAGAGGGGCAGGGCCUAGGAGGAGGUCAGGUCCUGAGCCUUCCUGGUUUGACCCCCUCCCACCCCCUGUGUUUCUGGGUCUGUCCUCACUUCCACCCAGCGGAUCCUGAGUCUCUUCCUUUGAGUCCCUGUGAGUGUGUUGUGUGCAGUGGGGCCGGGCUGCUUCAUCCACUGCACGUUAAAUGUUUCCAACACUUUCCGGCCAAAGCUUAGAGUUGUCAGACCACCGACUUUGAAUGUUGACCUGGUUCCUUGUGGAACAGAGUAAUAGCUAUUGAAGUUUAAAGUCACUUUCCUGCGUGGAUGGUGAAGAGGCAGGCUGUUCAGGCAUAACUGCCCUCAGGCCUGGAGGGCUGUGGAGGUCACCGUUGGCGGUGGGUGGAUCUGGAACCUCUGUGGCUCUAGACUUUCAACUAUUUCAUUUUUUCUUUUGUAGUUUUUGUUUGUUGCUUGCUUUUUUACAAUGGGAACUAGAAUGUAAGAUGCCAAACUCAGCCUGUGGGGAACAUGGAUUUUCACAACAGCAACCACAGAGCGUGGUUUCCAUUUCUAUUCCCU
ensembl:lncRNA ALG1L9P ALG1 like 9, pseudogene